rnacentral:rRNA from 1 species
UACGUAGGGCGCAAGCGUUGUCCGGAAUUAUUGGGCGUAAAGAGCUCGUAGGCGGUUUGUCGCGUCUGCUGUGAAAACCUAAGGCUCAACCUUGGGCUUGCAGUGGGUACGGGCAGACUAGAGUGCGGUAGGGGUGACUGGAAUUCCUGGUGUAGCGGUGGAAUGCGCAGAUAUCAGGAGGAACACCGAUGGCGAAGGCAGGUCACUGGGCCGCAACUGACGCUGGAGGGAAGCGAAAGCGUGGGGAGCGAACAGG